rnacentral:rRNA from 1 species
CCGCAUACGACCUACGGGAGAAAGGGGGCAGUUUACUGCUCUCGCUAUUAGAUGAGCCUAAGUCGGAUUAGCUAGAUGGUGGGGUAAAGGCCUACCAUGGCGACGAUCUGUAGCUGGUCUGAGAGGAUGAUCAGCCACACCGGGACUGAGACACGGCCCGGACUCCUACGGGAGGCAGCAGUGGGGAAUAUUGGACAAUGGGGGCAACCCUGAUCCAGCCAUGCCGCGUGUGUGAAGAAGGCCUUUUGGUUGUAAAGCACUUUAAGCAGUGAAGAAGACUCUAUGGUUAAUACCCAUAGACGAUGACAUUAGCUGCAGAAUAAGCACCGGCUAACUCUGUGCCAGCAGCCGCGGUAAUACAGAGGGUGCAAGCGUUAAUCGGAAUUACUGGGCGUAAAGCGAGCGUAGGUGGCUUGAUAAGUCAGAUGUGAAAUCCCCGGGCUUAACCUGGGAACUGCAUCUGAUACUGUUAAGCUAGAGUAGGUGAGAGGGAAGUAGAAUUUCAGGUGUAGCGGUGAAAUGCGUAGAGAUCUGAAGGAAUACCGAUGGCGAAGGCAGCUUCCUGGCAUCAUACUGACACUGAGGCUCGAAAGCGUGGGUAGCAAACAGGAUUAGAUACCCUGGUAGUCCACGCCGUAAACGAUGUCUACUAGUCGUUGGGUCCCUUGAGGACUUAGUGACGCAGCUAACGCAAUAAGUAGACCGCCUGGGGAGUACGGCCGCAAGGUUAAAACUCAAAUGAAUUGACGGGGGCCCGCACAAGCGGUGGAGCAUGGGCUUUAAUUCGAUGCAACGCGAAG